rnacentral:rRNA from 1 species
GACGGUACUGCCUUAGCAAGCAUCGGCUAACUCUGUGCCAGCAGCCGCGGUAAGACAGAGGAUGCGAACGUUGCUCGGAUUUACUGGGCGUAAAGCGCGUGUAGGCGGUCUCGUUAGUCGGGUGUGAAAGCCCCGGGCUCAACCCGGGAAGUGCACCCGAUACUGCGAGACUGGGGUACUGAAGAGGAGAGCGGAAUUCCCGGUGUAGAGGUGAAAUUCGUAGAUAUCGGGAGGAACACCAGUGGCGAAGGCGGCUCUCUGGGCAGAUACCGACGCUGAGACGCGAAAGCGUGGGGAGCAAACAGGAUUAGAUACCCUGGUAGCCACGCUGUAAACGAUGACGACUGGGUGUUGCAGGUAUUGACCCCUGCGGUGCCGAAGCCAACGCGUUAAGUCGUCCGCCUGGGAAGUACGGCCGCAAGGCUAAAACUCAAAGGAAUUG